UACAGAGGAGCCAAGCGUUGUCCGGAUUUACUGGGCGUAAAGCGCACGCAGGCGGUCUGGCGCGUGGGGUGUGAAAUCUGGCCGCUUAACGGCCAGGCGCCAUCCCAUACGGCUAGACUGGAGGGCUGCAGAGGUCGAUGGAAUUGCCGGUGUAGUGGUGGAAUGCGUAGAGAUCCGGAGGAACACCAGCGGCGAAGGCGGCGUCCUGGACUGGUACUGACGCUCAGGAGCGAAAGCGUGGGGAGCGAUCCGG
rnacentral:rRNA from 1 species